rnacentral:rRNA from 1 species
AGGUGGCUCGCUUCACGGCUUCCCUGCGGCACCUGAAACGGUCGCACCAUCCCAGACACCUAGCGAGCAUCGUUUACGGCUGGGACUACCCGGGUAUCUAAUCCGGUUCGUGCCCCCAGCUUUCGUCCCUCACCGUCGAACCCGUUCUGGUAAGACGCCUUCGCCACUGGUGGUCCCACAAGGAUUACAAGAUUUCACUCCUACCCCUGUAGUACCUCUUACCUCUCCCGGUUCCAAGUCUGACAGUAUCCCCCAGAAGCCUAACAGUUGAGCUGUCAGAUUUCCCGGAAGACUGAUCAAACCGGCUACGGACCCUUUAGACCCAAUAAUAAUGGCCAYYACUCGGGCCGCCGGUGUUACCGCGGCGGCUGGCACCGGUCUUGCCCGGCCCUUGCUGACACAUGUGAUUUAUACAUGCGGACAGCCAACACAUGGUGCUGGCACUCAGUGUCCCCUUAUCGCGGUUUCCCGCAUUGUAAAGUUU